rnacentral:rRNA from 1 species
GGAUGGUCAUGCGUCGCAUUAGCUAGUUGGCGGGGUAACGGCCCACCAAGGCGACGAUGCGUAGGGGUUCUGAGAGGAAGGUCCCCCACACUGGUACUGAGACACGGACCAGACUCCUACGGGAGGCAGCAGUGAGGAAUAUUGGUCAAUGGCCGCAGGGCUGAACCAGCCAAGUCGCGUGAGGGAUGACGGUCCUAUGGAUUGUAAACCUCUUUUGUCAGGGAGCAAAGGGCGCCACGUGUGGCGUUUUGCGAGUACCUGAAGAAAAAGCAUCGGCUAACUCCGUGCCAGCAGCCGCGGUAAUACGGAGGAUGCGAGCGUUAUCCGGAUUUAUUGGGUUUAAAGGGUGCGCAGGCGGAAUGUCAAGUCAGCGGUAAAAUUUCGGGGCUCAACCCCGUCGUGCCGUUGAAACUGGCGUUCUUGAGUGAGCGAGAAGUAUGCGGAAUGCGUGGUGUAGCGGUGAAAUGCAUAGAUAUCACGCAGAACUCCGAUUGCGAAGGCAGCAUACCGGCGCUCAACUGACGCUCAUGCACGAAAGCGUGGGUAUCGAACAGGAUUAGAUACCCUGGUAGUCCACGCAGUAAACGAUGAAUACUAACUGUCCGGGCAGAAUGAUGCCUGG